ACUGAUUACAAUGGAUAUCAGCUGAGCAUCUGGCUGUUCCCGCCUUCCUAUAUGGAAAAGUGGAGGGAGAUGGUGAGUGAGGUCAUAAGGCCUACCACUGAUCCCGGGGCAUGUACUGCUGUCUGUUUGCUAUCAGUGCCGCUUACAUAGUCCCUCUUACCAGCGCUCCUCUCGGGCUUGAGGAAUCUGUGCUCCGAAUUCCCCAGAGGGCUUAUUUAUCUUGUGGUGAACACAACAAAAUGUGAGGGCCUCUGACAGAGGAAGGAGCUCUGUGGAGAAACCUCAGCCCUCCACCACUUCAUCUCAGCUGCCUCUAUCAUCCCAUCAGCUCCUGCCAAGCCAGCCUCAGCUCAGAAGCAGAUGAGGAGUGUGGAGGAGGGGAUGAAGAUGGAGAAGGAAUUUCACACCGCUACAUUCACACAGCUGCUGGCACCAGCAAGUUUCUCCUGAAACCGCUCCAGACUCUGAAGUCAUUUUUCCAGUUGUGCUCCAGCAAGAGCCCAAGGGCUCUUCCUGUAGCCCAGAAAACCAAACAGCCAUCAGGAGCCUUGGGGGCUACCUGGUUUCUUGGAGGAAAUGAACUGGUACUCCAAGGGGUCAUAGUGACAACAUAGUAUGUCUUGAUCUCUUGUAUCUCUCAGGCAUUUGCUGCCCCACACUUCCUGUGGCUAACAACCCAUUCUGACAUGUGAAAGUUUGACCAGACCCAACAUCCAUGCAGAUCUUGGACUCAAAAGGCUGUCGACAAGGCUACCGCUUAGCACAGGUUGUGUUGGAAAUCCUGUAGCGCAGACUCUUGCAGUCGAGCCCUUCUCCUAUUUUCUGCUGAGCAUCCACUAGUGAGCAGCAGCUUUCUGUUAAUGAGCUCGGACUGGCUGACUUUCUCCUAGUGUGAAUCCCCCGAGCCAGCCAUUCUGUCAGAACCUUAACUGGAAGAAUUAAAGCUGGGAAAGGAGUUGAAUUUGUACGAUCUCUGUUCAAAUGUCCAUC